AUUGAACGCUGGCGGCAUGCUUUACACAUGCAAGUCGGACGGCAGCACAGAGAAGCUUGCUUCUUGGGUGGCGAGUGGCGAACGGGUGAGUAACAUAUCGGAACGUACCGAGCAGUGGGGGAUAACUAAUCGAAAGAUUAGCUAAUACCGCAUAUCUUCUGAGGAAGAAAGCAGGGGACCAUUUGGCCUUGCGCUGUUUGAGCGGCCGAUAUCUGAUUAGCUAGUUGGUGGGGUAAAGGCCUACCAAGGCGACGAUCAGUAGCGGGUCUGAGAGGAUGAUCCGCCACACUGGGACUGAGACACGGCCCAGACUCCUACGGGAGGCAGCAGUGGGGAAUUUUGGACAAUGGGCGCAAGCCUGAUCCAGCCAUGCCGCGUGUCUGAAGAAGGCCUUCGGGUUGUAAAGGACUUUUGUCAGGGAAGAAAAGGGCGGGGUUAAUACCCCUGUCUGAUGACGGUACCUGAAGAAUAAGCACCGGCUAACUACGUGCCAGCAGCCGCGGUAAUACGUAGGGUGCGAGCGUUAAUCGGAAUUACUGGGCGUAAAGCGGGCGCAGACGGUUACUUAAGCAGGAUGUGAAAUCCCCGGGCUCAACCUGGGAACUGCGUUCUGAACUGGGUGACUAGAGUGUGUCAGAGGGAGGUAGAAUUCCACGUGUAGCAGUGAAAUGCGUAGAGAUGUGGAGGAAUACCGAUGGCGAAGGCAGCCUCCUGGGAUAACACUGACGUUCAUGCCCGAAAGCGUGGGUAGCAAACAGG
rnacentral:rRNA from 1 species